rnacentral:misc_RNA from 1 species
GAUGAAGAACGUAGCGAAAUGCGAUACGUAGUGUGAAUUGCAGAAUUCAGUGAAUCAUCGAAUCUUUGAACGCACAUUGCACCUCUCGGUAUUCCGGGAGGUAUGCCUGUUCGAGCGUCAUUUGUACCCUCAAGCUCUGCUUGGUGUUGGGUGUUUGUUCCGCCUCUGUGUGUGAACUCGCCUCAAAACAAUUUGCAGCCGGCGUACUUGUUUCGGAGCGCAGCACAUUUUGCGAUCCAGAUCAACGUACAGCGGCAUCCAAGAAGCCUUAUUUAACGCUCUUGACCUCGGAUCAGGUAGGGAUACCCGCUGAACUUAAGCAUAUCAAUAAGCGGAGGA